rnacentral:rRNA from 1 species
AGUCGUAACAAGGUUUCCGUAGGUGAACCUGCGGAAGGAUCAUUAAUGAAAUUAUAAUCCGGCGAGGGGAAGGACGAGAGUUGUCGCUGGCCUUUCGCGAGGCAUGUGCACGCUNUCUUCUGGACUUUCGCCGUAUGGGCGCGGGGCGACCCGCGUCUUCAUGCACCUCUUCGUGUAGAAAGUCUUCGAAUGUUAUACUAUCAUCGAGNCGCGACUUCUAGGAGACGCGGUUCUUUGAGACAAAAGUUAUUACAACUUUCAGCAACGGAUCUCUUGGCUCUCGCAUCGAUGAAGAACGCAGCGAAUCGCGAUAUGUAAUGUGAAUUGCAGAUCUACAGUGAAUCAUCGAAUCUUUGAACGCACCUUGCGCUCCUCGGUGUUCCGAGGAGCAUGCCUGUUCGAGUGUCAGUAAAUUCUCAACCCCUCUCGAUUUGUUUCGAGCGGGNGUUUGGAUAGUGGGGGCUGCCGGAGACCUGNAUUUAUUUCNGGACUCGGGCUCUCCUGAAAUGCAUNGGCUUGCGGUUGACUUUCGACNUUGCAUGACAAGGCCUUCGGCGUGAUAAUGAUCGUCGUUAGCUGAAGUGCAUGAAUGAACCGUCCUGCGCCUCUAAUACGUCGACGCUUUCCAGCGUCUUCCUUAUUGACGUUUGACCUCGAAUCAGGUAGGACUACCCGCUGAACUUAAGCAUAUCAAUAAGCGGAGGAAAAGAAACUAACAAGGAUUCCCCUAGUAACUGCGAGUGAACCGGGAAGAGCUCAAAUUUUGAAUCUGGCGGUCUUUUCGG